AUUGUAACGGGAGUUAGAACAGAAGUACAGCUUAGUUUAGCAGUCGGUACUGUCGAAGAAGGACGAAGUGCAGCUUUUUUUCGGAGGGCUUUUCAUUCGUUGGUGAUCUAUCAUAAAGUGCAUUAGAAAAACUUUUUAGCAAAAAAGUGGCAGGAACAGUGAAUCACAACACACAAUGCUCAGCAAACUUACUAAAUUUUAGCUUUUUGGACCUAAAGUGUAAUUUACAGUUGAUUGAUAAAAUAGUGGCCAAUAAUCAGAAAUAUCAUCAAAUACUGAACGAGGAAUUCUCUGUAUUUGAUUUGGGGACACGAACAAUCAGCAUUGGUUGAUUUCUAAUUCUUAGUGUGAGGGAGGUAUGUUGGCGAUGAUGUUUGAUAAUUGAAAGUUGAUAAUGUUAGACGCAAAGUGAUUCCACCUCUAUUAAGGAUUGUUUCUCGAAUUCUAUAAUCUAAAAAUUGGAAGAAGUGAUUCGGAAUUGAAUAUUUUAUCAUAUAAAUUUGGAAUCAAGGAUACUAAAAAAAAUUUUACUACAAAACUUGAGCGCUCCUAAUUAUUCGUAUUUUCAUGUCACUACUGAAUAUAGUCUUCUGAAACGGGUUUCAACCCGUUGGUUCUAUAAUGAUUCUUUGCGGAGCUUUUCUAUCAACUUGAUAUUUAUAAAAUUAAGUGUCCGACUUGAGGAAGAAGAAAAAGGAUUCUACCAAAGAUGAUCUCCCUCAAAUUGAAGAAUACAUGCCUGCUGUGCAUGGUAAUGGCUGUGAUAACCCAGAGUCAGUCAAUAUCAGAAUCUCCUAUUCCAAAACAAUGGGUCAAUCCGAGUAAACUCGGUAACGAAGUAGGUUCCGGGCAGUCCUCAAAAAGCUCAGAAAAUUCCCUGAGCACAGAAUCUGACCAAAUUUCAUCCUCCGAAUCUUCAAAUGCUCAUCGAUUUACGGCCCUCUUAGCUGAUCUUUCUCGAGAAAAACCGAUUUCACGUCUACGGCUCGAAAAAUCAGCUCGCAGAAGACCAAGGACUCCCAAAACUAGUAAGCUGUCUCUGCCAAUCAGAAGUCAAAGGCUUAAACUGAACGAGUUGGCUGAUCAAGAAAGUCAAGAGUUCUCAAAAAAUACGCGUGAAUCCAAAAAUGGGCCUAUGAAAUACGAUAUUCCUUUGAAAAUCUCGCAGGGUUCUGAUUCAGAAGACGAGAAAGCUCAGCGGUUGAAAAGCUCGAGUCUAGAAGCCAACGAGAUUCCAACCGUUGGAGAGCCUUUGACAAAUUUCUAUCGAAGAUGGGAAGCGACCCCAAAGGCCGAUUCCGAGAGGACCACUGUCAGGAACUAUUUCCUUGAACAGUAUUCGGACAAGAAAACUGAAGGCAAGGUAAUUCCCAUGGAGUUUAACCCUUUACUCUAUAAGAAUGUAGAGAGCUCAGACUUCGGCCUUAAAACUGCGCUUUCAAAGCAGACUUAUGAAAGCCCUGAAACGAGCCCUGAUGCAGGGACCUCACCCACAAGGAUCUUCGCAGAGAAAAUCGAUGAAUUGUGGUCUCAACCUCAGCAUCUAAGUCCCGUUGAGAUAUCAAUGGAAGCAAAGGGUCUAAGACCGCAAUCUCCUGAGAAUCACGAUCAAAACUUGGAGCUGCGGGCAUCGAAUAGUCGCGAUGUUAUGCCAGCAUUGAACACUACGUUAUCAAUCCCUCAGAAAUGAAUCCCCAGCUAAAAGUUCGGUCAAUACACGAAAUUCAGAGGUACAUUCCCGUCGAAAUUCCUCAAACUUUCAAACAUUACCUUCCCAGAUGCCUCUUCAAAAUGUGCAAAAUUCAGGGACCGCUUUCCGAGACCUACUGAACUCUCAAGAGAAAAGUAUACAGAGUUUCGACACUGUAGAUAGCGUAGAGCGAGCGUUCACUCCACGAGGUAUCGGGAUGAAAAGUCAGCCUUUCCCGUUAGACAGGCAGACCUUUUGCUCGUCGAUUUUGAGGCAGGAAGGCACUGACCCACAUGAGGACCCUACGCUCAAACUCCAGCGCUCUAGUCAGUUCAUCCCGUUCUGUCCAGAGGUACAUAACAUCACGGAGAUUUACUCGGAGUUGUGUGAGGACUGGGUGAGUGACGACGAGUUUUUCGAGGAGUUGAAGAAGAAGAAGUGGACAGAGGACAUUCUGAAGGUGCAGGGCCUAUCCAAGAUCCCCACUCUCCAAUCUCAGAACUCCAUUUCAACAAGCAGUUUUUCGCCUCCGUCAUCUGAAGCUGUAAAGCCGCUGUCCGUUCAGACGUGGCAACCAUCGUCUGAAGCUGUAAAGCCGCUAUCUAUUCAGACGUGGCAACCAUCAUCUGAAGUAAAGCCGCUACCCAUCCAGACGUGGCAACCGUCAUCUGUAGUAUCUCACCCGGUCGGAAAUGAAAUCGACGUGAAACCGUUGUCCAACGGAUGGGGUCAGCUCCCAACUAGGAUCAGUGUCAAUGACAUAGCCGGUCUGAAUAACUUUUUCAUCCCCUAGAAGCCCGAACUUACCCCCUGGAUCGUGCGUUCCCGCCAACCAGAACCACUUCAACUACCCUCUCCAGGAGACCAAUACUCUCUCUUUUAAGAGCAUACCGCAACCACCAAAAGGGUUCAAACAAUUCCAGGAGAUGAAGACUCUCUCUCUUAAUAGUAUACCCCAACCACCAAAAGGGUUCGAACAAGUUCUUAGUAACUGCGACAACAUCAUCAACCGAGAAAUGAAAAUUUCCCCGGAGGUCGUCGUUCCUCCGGAAAUUCUCGUGCCUGAAAUCAAAGUUUUCACAUCGGAAAUUUUCCAAGAUGCCGGCAAAAAUGAGAAGCACAAGGACCACGAGACGCACAAUGAACACGAGACGCACAAGGAACACGAGAAGCACAAGGAACACGAGAAGCACAAGGAACACGAGAAGAAAAAAGAGCCAAGUUCGGCGGAGGGGCCUGUGAUCGGGGUGGAGUUGUUCCCGGAGUUCAACCAGGUGACGAAGACGAAGAUCCUGAAGGCGCAGAAGAUCGAGAAGGAUGGGAACGUCAUAUUUCUGCCGGAGACGAGGAGCAAGGAACACAAGGAUGAAAAGGAGGAGACACUGGAGGUGGAGGUGCACGUGACGACGUUCAAUUGCACGAAGAGGGACACUCCAGAGAACGAGCGAGUAGGAAAGAUCGACCUGAAGGAGCUACACAAGGGCGAGACGUGGCCCCAUCUCACUUACCUCAAGCUCAUACCGCUCUCUGAGUCCUUCGAGCAGGAGCUCCAGGAGCGAGAUAAGUCCGAGGAGGUGGCUGAGCUCCUCAAAGCCAACGCCACUGCGGACAUCAAGCCCAUCAAUCAGACUGAAGCUGGAGAAUAGUACAAACUUGUAAAUAUAGUUAAAAUUAAUUUAAAUUAAAUCGAUAAAAUAUAUAUGUAAAUAUACUAAUUUAUUCUGCAAAUAUUUUGUAUUCAUUGUUUUGAAAAGGAUGUCCUUCCAUGGGUGUCGAACAAUUGGAUUUUUAUAAAUUUCUAGCAAAAAGCCAUUACACUGUGUUG
rnacentral:lncRNA from 1 species